rnacentral:rRNA from 1 species
AACGAACGCUGGAGGCAGGCCUAACACAUGCAAGUCGAACGCUGUAGCAAUACAGAGUGGCAGACGGGUGAGUAACGCGUGGGAAUCUUCCUAUCGGUACGGAAUAGCUCAGGGAAACUUGGGGUAAUACCGCAUACGCCCUUCGGGGGAAAGAUUUAUCGCCGAUAGAUGAGCCCGCGUCUGAUUAGCUAGUUGGUGAGGUAACGGCUCACCAAGGCGACGAUCAGUAGCUGGUCUGAGAGGAUGACCAGCAGCACUAGGACUGAGACACGGCCCAGACUCCUACGGGAGGCAGCAGUGGGGAAUAUUGGACAAUGGGGGCAACCCUGAUCCAGCCAUGCCGCGUGAGUGACGAAGGUCUUCGGAUUGUAAAGCUCUUUUGGCGGGGACGAUAAUGACGGUACCCGCAGAAUAAGCCCCGGCUAACUUCGUGCCAGCAGCCGCAGUAA